rnacentral:tRNA from 5 species
GCAAGUGUAGCUCAGUUGGUAGAGCAGCGGACCGAUAAUCCGCCCGUCCCUGGUUCGAGUCCAGGCAUUUGCACCA